rnacentral:rRNA from 1 species
GACGAAGGGGGUUAGCGUUGUUCGGAAUUACUGGGCGUAAAGCGAGUGUAGGUGGUUGUCGUAGUCAGGUGUGAAAGCCUUGAGCUCAACUCAAGAAAUGCACUUGAUACUGGGCAGCUAGAGGACCGGAGAGGAUAGUGGAAUUCCCAGUGUAGUGGUGAAAUACGUAGAGAUUGGGAAGAACACCAGUGGCGAAGGCGGCUAUCUGGACGGUUUCUGACACUAAGACUCGAAAGCGUGGGGAGCAAACAGG